GGGAUAGCCAUGCGAGUCAACAUAGCAAUAUGUGGCAUACGGCUCAGUAACACGUAGUCAACAUGCCCAGGGGACGUGGAUAACCUCGGGAAACUGAGGAUAAACCGCGAUAGGUCAUCACUUCUGGAAUGGGUAACGACUUAAACCUAUAUGGCCCCUGGAUUGGACUGCGGCCGAUCAGGCUGUUGGUGAGGUAAUGGCCCACCAAACCUGUAACCGGUACGGGCUCUGAGAGGAGGAGCCCGGAGAUGGGCACUGAGACAAGGGCCCAGGCCCUAUGGGGCGCAGCAGGCGCGAAACCUCUGCAAUAGGCGAAAGCUUGACAGGGUUACUCUGAGUGAUUUCCGUUAAGGAGAUCUUUUGGCACCUCUAAAAAUGGUGCAGAAUAAGGGGUGGGCAAGUCUGGUGUCAGCCGCCGCGGUAAUACCAGCACCCCGAGUGGUCGGGACGUUUAUUGGGCCUAAAGCAUCCGUAGCCGGUUCUACAAGUCUUCCGUUAAAUCCACCUGCUUAACAGAUGGGCCGCGGAAGAUACUAUAGAGCUAGGAGGCGGGAGAGGCAAGCGGUACUCGAUGGGUAGGGGUAAAAUCCGUUGAUCCAUUGAAGACCACCAGUGGCGAAGGCGGCUUGCCAGAACGCGCUCGACGGUGAGGGAUGAAAGCUGGGGGAGCAAACCGGAUUAGAUACCCGGGUAGUCCCAGCUGUAAACGAUGCAGACUCGGUGAUGAGUUGGCUUAUUGCUAACUCAGUGCCGCAGGGAAGCCGUUAAGUUUGCCGCCUGGGGAGUACGGUCGCAAGACUGAAACUUAAAGGAAUUGGCGGGGGAGCACCACAAGGGGUGGAGCCUGCGGUUCAAUUGGAGUCAACGCCGGAAAUCUUACCGGGGGCGACAGCAGAGUGAAGGUCAAGCUGAAGACUUUACCAGACAAGCUGAGAGGAGGUGC
rnacentral:rRNA from 1 species